GACUCCUUGGGCUUCCCCAUUCGUCUCUUUUCUGUGGACACGAGCGUUCUCAGACAAUCUCUCUCCCCAGAUCUCUCCCUACCUCUUUCGCUACCUCUUCGUCUCUUUUUGUGGACGCAGGGGCUCUGAGAAGCAAGCAACGAAGCACAUGGCUUUUCUGCAGGUCUUGUUUGAGAACUUGUUCACUCUUCUAUCAGAGGAGUGGAGAUUGGUCUUGGGAGCGGAGGACGAACUGAGAAAUCUCAGGGACAAUCUCUCCAUGAUUCAAGCU
rnacentral:lncRNA from 1 species